rnacentral:rRNA from 1 species
GGACGGGUGAGUAACGCGUAAGCAAUCUGCCUCUGUGAGUGGAAUAACAGCUGGAAACGGCUGCUAAUACCGCAUGACGCAACGGAACCGCAUGAUUCUGUUGCCAAAGAUUUAUCGCACGGAGAUGAGCUUGCGUCCGAUUAGAUAGUUGGCGGGGUAACGGCCCACCAAGUCGACGAUCGGUAGCCGGACUGAGAGGUUGAACGGCCACAUUGGAACUGAGAACGGUCCAGACUCC